rnacentral:rRNA from 1 species
CCUACGGGUGGCAGCAGUGAGGAAUAUUGGUCAAUGGACGAAAGUCUGAACCAGCCAUGCAGCGUGAAGGAUGACGGCCCUAUGGGUUGUAAACUUCUUUUAUAUGGGAGUAAAUUUCAAUACGUAUAUUGUUCUGUAUGUACUAUACGAAUAAGGAUCGGCUAACUCCGUGCCAGCAGCCGCGGUAAUACGGAGGAUCCGAGCGUUAUCCGGAUUUAUUGGGUUUAAAGGGUGCGUAGGCGGAUUUGUAAGUUAGUUGUUAAAGGUUGGAGCUCAACCCGAGAAUUGCAGUUGAUACUGUGGGUCUAGAGAGCAGAUGAGGUAGGCGGAAUGCGUGGUGUAGCGGUGAAAUGCUUAGAUAUCAUGAAGAACACCGAUUGCGAAGGCAGCUUACUGGACUGUAACUGACGUUGAGGCACGAAAGCGUGGGUAGCAAACAGGAUUAGAUACCCGAGUAGUC